rnacentral:rRNA from 1 species
GAUUUCUGGCCUGAAACAUUUUGUCGGCCACGGUUUCGUGUGUUAGUGCUUGAUGUUCUGGCCAUCCUUCCAAUCGCUAUCGGCUUAUCUUCAUUGAUCGGUCGGUAGUAUUGGAUCUUUUACUUUGAAAAAAUUAGAGUGUUUCAAGCAGGCUUUUUGCUAUGAAUACAUUAGGACUUCGGUUCUAUUUUGUUGAUUUCUAGGACUGAAGUAAUGACUGAUAGGGAUAGUUGGGGUGCUAGUAUUCAGCGGCCAGAGGUGAAAUUCUCGGAUUCGCUGAAGACUAACUUAUGCGAAAGCAUU